rnacentral:rRNA from 1 species
CCAACAGGGAUUGCCUUAGUAACGGCGAGUGAAGCGGCAAAAGCUCAAAUUUGAAAUCUGGCACCUUCGGUGUCCGAGUUGUAAUUUGAAGAAGGUAACUUUGGAGUUGGCUCUUGUCUAUGUUCCUUGGAACAGGACGUCACAGAGGGUGAGAAUCCCGUGCGAUGAGAUGCCCAAUUCUAUGUAAAGUGCUUUCGAAGAGUCGAGUUGUUUGGGAAUGCAGCUCUAAGUGGGUGGUAAAUUCCAUCUAAAGCUAAAUAUUGGCGAGAGACCGAUAGCGAACAAGUACAGUGAUGGAAAGAUGAAAAGAACUUUGAAAAGAGAGUGAAAAAGUACGUGAAAUUGUUGAAAGGGAAGGGCUUGAGAUCAGACUUGGUAUUUUGCGAUCCUUUCCUUCUUGGUUGGGUUCCUCGCAGCUUACUGGGCCAGCAUCGGUUUGGAUGGUAGGAUAAUGACUAAGGAAUGUGGCUCUACUUCGGUGGAGUGUUAUAGCCUUGGUUGAUACUGCCUGUCUAGACCGAGGACUGCGUCUUUUGACUAGGAUGUUGGCAUAAUGAUCUUAAGCC